AACCCCUCUUAUAAUUCAGUUGCAAACCGGUUCAGACCUUAUUUUUGAAAAUAAUUUCUACUUGUAUUUUUCGGGAAUCCCCCCCCACACCCACCACAUAAAAUUCGAACCCAUGGCAUUACGAGUUGAAAUUUGGUUCUGCUUUUCAAGAUUCAAACAUAUCCAACGAACAAGUGGAUCAAGAUUGUAGAUACCAGAAUGGUGGUAAAAGGAGUGAUGCACAAUCUUUGGAGGAAGCUUUAACUGAAAAACCUCAAAAUCUGGGCAAAAGCACGUCCAUGCAUGAGCAGGAGACAUGAAACAUCCAAGAGGACCUUACAGCAGAAACUGAACAAAAAUGGUGGAUAAAUUGAAACAAUGGCCCGAACUCUGUGAUUCGAGAGCCUGAGACUAGUAAAACUAGGAGCUGAGCUAGGAUUCACGACGAUUUCUCCUGAAAAUCUUCUGUCCAGGUGCAAGAAUGGCCUUGGGAUCGUAUUUAGCCUUCCUUUCUACGAAUCGUGACCA